AGUUCGAUUCUGGCUCAGAUUUCGAAUCGCGCUGGCGGAUGCUUUACACAUGCAAGUCGAACGGCAGCACGGACUUCGGUCUGGGGUGGCGAGGGCGAAACGGGUGAGUAAUGUAUCGGAACGUGCCUAGUAGCGGGGGAUAACUACGCGAAAGCGUAGCUAAUACCGCACAUUGCCCUUCGGGGGAAAGCGGGGACCUUCGGGCUCCUGCACCAUUAGAGCGGCCGAUAUCGGAUUAGCUAGUUGGUGGGUAACGGCUCACCAAGGCGACGAUCCGUAGCUGGUUUGAGAGGACGACCAGCCACACCGGACUGAGGCACGGCCCAGACUCCUACGGGAAAGGGUGGGGAAUUUUGGACAAUGGGGGAAACCCUGAUCCAGCCAUCCCUGCGUGUGCGAUGAAGGCCUUCGGGUUGUAAAGCACUUUGGCAGGGGAAAGAACGCACGGAUAAUACCCCGUGCAACCACGGUACCUGCAGAAUAAGCACCGGCUAAUCCAUGCGCCAGCAGCCGCGGUAAUACGUGUAGGGUGCAAGCGUUAAUCGGAAUUACUGGGCGUAAAGUGCGCAGGCGGUUCGGAAAGAAAGAUGUGAAAUCCCAGAGCUUAACUUCUCUUUGGAACUGCAUUUUUUAACUACCGUGAGCUAGAGUGUGUCAGGGAGGGAGGAAUUCCGCGUAGCAGUGAAAUGCGUAGAUAAGAGGAUCGUCUGAUGGCGAAGGCAGCCUCCUGGGAUAACACUGACGUUCAUGCACGAAAGCGUGGUGAGCAAACAGAUUAGAUACUCCUGGUAGUCCACGCCCUAAACGAUGUCAACUAGCUGUUGGGGCCUUCGCCUUGGUAUGCAGCUAACGCGUGAAGUUGACCGCCUGGGGAGUACGGUCGCAAGAUUAAAACUCAAAGGAAUUGACGGGACCUGCAAUGCCGGUGGAUGAUGGGAUUAAUUCGAUGCAACGCGAAAAACCUUACUCACUCCUGCAUGUCUGGAAUCCCGAAGAGAUUUGGGAGUGCUGCAAGAGAACCGAAAUUAUGCUGCAUGGCUGUCGUCAGCUCGUGUCGUGAGAGUUGGGUUAAGUCCUGGCAACGAGCGCAACCUCAUUAGUUGCUACGAAAGGGCACUCUAAUGAGACUGCCAUGACAAACCGGAGGAAGGUGGGGAUGACGUCAAGUCCUCAUGGCCCUUAUGGUAGGUCGCGUCAGUCAUACAAUGGUCGGGACAGAGGGUCGCUAACCCGCGAGGGGGAGCCAAUCCCAGAAACCCGAUCGUAGUCCGAUCGCAGUCUGCAACUCGACUGCGUGGUGGAAUCGCUAGUAAUCGCGGAUCAGCAUCGCGGUGAAUACGUUCCCGGGUCUUGUACACACCGCCCGUCACACCAUGGGAGUAGGUUUUACCAGAAGUAGUUAGCCUAACCGUAAGGAGGGCGAUUACCACGGUAGGAUUCAUGACUGGGGUGGUCGUAACAGGUGGC
rnacentral:rRNA from 1 species